rnacentral:tRNA from 1 species
UUUAUUUUAGUAUAAGAUGUACAUUAAUUUUUGAAAUUAAUGGUAAUAGUUUAAUUCUAUUAAAUAAUAC